AAGAUUAUUCACUGCUGUUAGUACUUCCACAAGCAAAACAUUGCAAAAUUUGAUAAAUGUUUGCUAUUUAUUGGACAUCUGAGAUUUGCAUUUUUAUUCUGUUGUUCCAAUUAAUAUGCAGUUGUGUGGAUGCAUUGAGGCACCCCUUCCUUUGUGGACCUAAAUGGCGCAUAAAUCCAUCAGUUGAUGUCAUACGGUGGGGCUUGGGUUCUACUGCUGUCCGCAUGGCUGAAGAUUAUAUUUAUGGACAGCAUCAGGUAUUAACUCUAUGCACAUGUAUUAAUCAAGCUGCAUACCAUGUUCUCAUCUAUAAAUCUUGUUUAAAGGCUUGAGCUUCCACCCACUUAGAAACUGGCAUAUUUUUAAUGAAGCUUACAUUUUAACAAUCAAACUUCUACUUUGUAUCAUCUGAUAGCUCCUAAUUUUCAUGAGGACUUGUGGUGGCACCCCAAGGUACUCAUAAAGUUCGUUUUUCCAUGUUUACAGCGUAGACGAUUAGCAUAUUUUGUUGAAUUGAUGGAGGUGCUAAACCCUAAUCCAAGAACAGAGGUAACUUCGUCCUGUUCCAAGUCCUGAUAAAAAGAAUCCAGUGUGAUUGAACUUUGUUUUGAGAUGAUUGUGUAGCUGAGUUUCUUUUUCUUUUGCUAUGACAGCUGAAAUUAAUUGUUUCCAUAUCUUGAAUUCAAUUAUUGUUAGCGUUGAUGCUAUGAAUUCACUUGAUCUUUCUGUCUAUGGUGUCAUCAAUAUUAGGUGGAAAGAUAUAAUAUCUUUUGUAUUUCCUAUUUUGUUUGUUGCAGGAUAGAUAUGGUUCUUAUUGUCAGUCCAUUUUCAGAACAUAUAUUUUCUUAUUCUUUUCAAGUUCAUGUUCUUCUCUUCCAAAACAUAAUAUAUUUUAAUUUCCUUUUGCUUUUAUUCACUCAGAACUGGCUUAACAUCCUACCUGGUCACUGGCGUCUCUUAUACUGUACUGGAAGGCACAUCGGUCUAACACUUCGUCAGCCUUCUCCGAGAAUCCUCAUCACUGAUGUGUUUCUCACAUUUGCACAAACUUCAGACUCCAUUGAUCCUGUGUUCUCUCUGACCUCAGACAUUGGUUUCAAAAUUAUGGCAGAAUCUGAUUGGCCUCAUGACAAAUCUGGUAGCGAAGGAACAUUAUCUGUUACCUCAUCUGCGAGGAUAGCAACUGGAAGAAUUUAUAUUCACGAACAGGAUGGUGAUGAUAGUAGGGUUGCAUCUUCAAGAUCUUCUAGGAGAUACCUUCGUGGUAAGUGGAGAAAAGUUUCAAAAAUGAAAGAGCUGCCUGCUAGCCUCCCCACAGUAAACAUUACCAUGGAUGAACUCGACGUAUCAAUGAGCUGCAGCUCGACUUUAAAUGUCAGUUCUGCGCAGAAGGUGCUGCAAGAGAUCCGCACUCAGACCCCGCCAGAAAUGUUUGAUUUAUCAAAAAUUGUUUGUGGGACAUACGUUGAUGCAAGGUUGAUGAUUCUUCGUGGUGUUAACGGGUCCGCGUUAUUUUUCACCAGAUCAAAUUCUAGAGCUGAUUCCUGACGAUAAUCAGUGAAGCUUGUAACCAAUAUUCUUUGGGUGUACAUUCUUUGUAUUUCUAGCUGUACAUUAUUCAUAACUAGCAAAUGUAAAUAAUAGAGUGUAAGCUAAAUCUGUCAGUCAUCCUUCCGAAUCAGGAGAGAAAUAUGUUGCCGCUUUAUUAUUUGAUCUUGGAAAAUGAGUAAAUGACGAAUUGACGAUGUCUACAGCAGAGUCCAGGGUGGAAGCAUAAAGAGGGUUCCAAGUUCCAACUCUCAAUCAGAACUCGAGCAUGCAGACGAAGGAGAUGGCCAAGCGAAGGCGCAGUCCACUGCUGUCAACCUGUGAUGCGUGCCUCAGCCAUCAAAUCCCGGUCGCCAUGUUUUAAGGCUCCAGCUUCGAUGUCAUCCUCUCUUGCCUCGUCCUUCGGUUCUUCCUGUAGGCAAGCGAGCACGGCGGUGCUUCUCCUCAUUUCAGUAUUUCUUGCAGAAAUUUGGGAUCAUGCCAUCGGAAAAAAAAGUGAUUUGGAAUAUCAUCAUUUCAAUUGGAGUUAGUUAAAAUACCACUCUAAACUAGACCAUCUACGCCGGAAAACCAUCGUCGACAAUAAUUAUCCUUUAGGUUGUUCUUCUUCCUCCCUCCAACACCGGAAGAGCUAGUCCAUGGUCACUGUGCAUUUUGGCCACCACCAGCUUAUUGCCUCCUUGCACAUCGACUAACCUCCACUCCCUCUAUGUCACAACUGUCGUGCUCUCCUACUUUGCGUAGGGCCACCUGUCGCUCCCGCGGUGCUCCAGGACUUCUCCUUGAGCUUGCGGAGGCGGUUGGCCUCCUCGAGCCAGCCUUGUGCCGGUCGAAAAACUCAGAGUCCGACAGUGACACUAGGUAGAAGUUCUCCUAGUCCCAUGCCAACAACAGCGAUGACCUAACCAUCGGUUUUCGGAACGACGACUACGCGGGGCUGGUGAUGUUGGAGUCGGACAUGAUGUGCGACACCAUGAGGUAACAACGGGGCACGGGAUUGCCACAAGAGCAAGCGGGGGAGGUGGGUGCUUAGGGAAUAAUGUCAGGACAAUGCUAUAGACGAGGGUGCUGAUGACGACAUUGUUGGGAUCAACACAUAUUGGUGAGCGAUGGGCGACCUUGCAUGAAGCGGGGAGAGCAUGGGUGUGGAUGUAGUCAGCGUGCAUGGAGGCAAGCAGCUAAUGUCAACCAUGACGCACGAUGCCAGUUGGCGAUCUCUUCUGGGGACUACCUACAUUUUGUGGACAAAUUUUCUUCAAAAAAAUUAAUAGAUGUAAAUAUAAUACAAUCGUGAUUAUAACUUGUAUGUAACCUUCAAAAAUCUCUCGGUAACAUACUAUUUUCAUGAAACAGAAGUGGCGGGACCAAAUCCUCACAUGUGUGUGCGCUGUGAUUUUUUUUUCCUUUUCACUUUCAUAAAUCCUAAAAUAAAUUGGGUGAAUGUUACAUACAAGUUAUAUUGUAGUUAUAUGCAUGUUUCAUUGAUUUCACUAUAUUUAUAUCUGUCAAAUUUUAGAAGAAAACAAAUAUACCGUGAAAUCGAUCCCAAAUUUCUCACUAAGGAGCAGGAUUGAGCUACCGGAGAGGACAAAGUGGGCCGGUACUUCUGUCUGGUGAAGGGUCGAACCUUGCAUGCGAACGUCCAUCUAGUAGAGAGAUAGAGAUAACACUGAUCUGUACAUGUAAAAUCCGUUGGAGUUAGGCCGUAAUUUGUGCGGGCGACGCAUGCAUAUGACUGGGCGAUGAUGCACGUAUGGGCACUAGGCAGUUGAGCGCGAUAUAUCUCGAGCUCAGGGGAUAACCGGGAUAACAGGCUUUUGCCCGACAAAGGCGAUACCACGACGUCGGCGUUACACCUACACCUACACGAUCUAUCAGCACUUCUCCGUUCUCCCCGCCGCCGGCCAAACAAGGUAUAACGUACGCUUUGCGCUUGUGCAUGCCGGAGCCCGGAGGCCGAUCAAUAGAUCGAUCUCGUCCAUACCGGUGGUCUCCGGCCGCGCGCGUGCGGUUAAUUCUAUUCUUUAAUUUCUUUCUCGCCGUCAAGUCUAACCAUCCACGCGUGCAUGAUAUAUCGAUCGAUCUCUACUCUUGUGUACUCCUCGCAGAUAUGACGAAAUCCGACGACGAUCUCAAAUGCUUCUACGUGCCGAUCGUUACGAUGAUAUUGGCCUUCAACGUGCUAGUGUUCAUAGUACUACCCAUCAUCGAUAGGCCACCGGACCCGGUCUUCUCCGUUCGUCUUGUGGGCGUCGAGGGGCUCGACCACCCCGACCCGUGCCACCAGCUGCAGUCGGCUGCCCCGGCGGUGCCGCCGGUUUUCGACCUCGCCGUGGACGUGGGCGGCGUCCCACCGCGCUAUCGGGCCUGCGGCGGAGGCGGCGGGGACGACACCGUGCUGCGGGUCUCCUACCGCGGCAUCAUCCUUGCUUGGGGCUGCGUGCCGUCGUUCUGCAUCGACGGCGGCGAGCAUGGCAGAGCCAGAGCGGACGGCGUGGUCGUCGUCAGGGCCGAAGCAGGGGCGUGCGCCGCGAUCCGGGAUGGCCUGCGCAAUCUGAUAUGGACCGAGCGGCGCGUCCUGGGAAAGGUCGAUUUUGAUGUGGAGGGGAACCUGGGGAAGGUGUCCAGGUUAGGUAAUUUACAUUUCAAAGUUGCUUCUUUCGAAGGCGCGCGAGAUCAUUAAGAGAUCAAUUCAGAUGAUGCAUGGUUUCGCUUGCUUGUGCCCAAGGUUGUCAGGAUCAGGAUAAUAGGUAGUAUCAUUUUGCUCAAAGUAAUAUCGUAUCAUAGGAUCGUAUCGUAUCGUAGUAUCGGGAUACUAUGAGAUUUUCUUUUUUUUAAGUUUAAUUAACAUUUAUAUUAAUUAUAUAUAGCCAUUUUAUAUAAAAAAAUGUAGUAAUGAUAUAUAUCAUGCAAAUAGAGACAUUUAUCAAGAGAAACCAUGUUGGUUUUCAUAUAUUUAACUGAUUUUCAUAUAAAUUUGAGCAUAUUUAGUUACAUUAUUUUCAAACCAUGUUAUUUUAAAUAAUAUUUUAGCCAUUCUAUAUAAAAAAUAUAGUAAUGAUAUAUAUCAUGCAAAUAGAGACAUUUAUCAAGAGAAACCAUGUUGGUUUUGAUAUAUUUAACUGAUUUUCAUAUAAAUUUGAGCAUAUUUAGUUACAUUAUUUUUAAACCAUGUUAUUUUAAAUAAUAUUUUGUAGUAUCGUAGGGAUCGUAGAAUCGGGAUACCUCCUAAGAUUUCGUAGGAUCGUGUAGUAAUGAAUAGUAGGAUCGAGAUACUAUAAAAAUUAGGAUAUUAGGUGGGAUCGGUAUCGUUUCGGCUUGGUAGGAUCGUAAUAUCCUAAGAUACUAGGAUACGAAUCGGGAUACUGAUAACCUUGCUUGUGCCUAGAGAGUCCUAUGUUUUCCCUAUGGGGUUACUAAACAGAUAUCUCCCUCCAUAUUAAAAUAUAAGGCGCAACUUUUACUAACGAAGAUACUGAAAGAGAACGGUUUUGCUAGAUUUGUGGCAACAUAUUUUUUUUGUUAGAUUCCAGUCAGAGUUUAGACCGUUUGAUUUCCAUAAGAUUCGUGCAUGCAUACGUUCAAGCGUGCUAAACAACUUCCUUUGUUGUUGUAAUUAUAUAUUUAUACAAAUUUAUUACACUGUAGUUACACACCACUUAUAUAAGUAAUUACUAUGUAAUUUUUGGACUUAUAUAUGUAAUUUUAAAUCUUAUCUUACAUUAUAAAUGCACUAAAAUUAGUAGUUACACCCUACCUACAUAUGUAAUUAGUAAGUAAUUUGAGACUUACGUAUGUAAUUUUGAAACUUAAAUUGUAAAUACAAUAAAUUUACAUAUGUAAUUUAGGGACUUAAAAUGGAAAUACAUGCUGACUAUUUUUUGGUAAAAAAUAUGGCGCGAUAAAUAUAGCUACUCCCAUAAAGAAUUAUUAUUAUAUUUCUCAUUUGGAUGACCCAAUAAAUAUAAUACAUACACCUAAUAUGAUUUAAAAUAUUAAGAAUAGAGGAUACAAAAGAAAAUUAAAGGAGAGGGAAUGUGCUAGUUAACUGUAUGCAUGCGUAUCUUGUAUUAUGAAACAUCAAAAAAGUGGUUGGCUCUUAUAUUUUGGAAUGUAACGAGUAAUGUGAACUUAUUUUUUAUAGGAUUGGACAACACGUGACAUUCUAGUUUUAUAUUUUUUUCUACUUAUAUGUUUUUCGAAUAGGAGUCUUUCUUUCUCCAAUCCACCUGCAUGUUUGCGUGGGCUUUGAUUUUAGCCUACUUUGCACCUACAAACUUUACACUUGAAAACUUUUUAUAUGAAAAAUAUUUACUUUUGACACUAGACGUUUACUUAUAAUUUAGGCCUAACUUUCUAAAUGUAAAUUUCAUACAUAGGAGUGUUAGAUUUAUAAAAUUUAUAUAUAUAUAUAUAUAAAUUUCAUUUGGAUAUAGAAAUUUUCUAUGGAUGAAUUUCAAGCAAAAAUCAAAAUAUGAAUUUGAAAACAAGAAAAAAAUCUAUAAAAAUUCCAUUGGGCUAAACCAACUGAAAUGGUAACAAAUUGUGAAACACGUUUAUGGAAAACUCAUCUAGCUUUGCAUGGGCGUGAGUCUUAGGGCAUGUACAAAGGUAGAGUCUAAUAUGAACUAUCUAAAUAAUUAAUGUAAUUAGAUACUAUUCUCCUACAAUAGUAGAAACAAUAAGAUUUGUAAACCAUUAAUGCAUAAAUAAUGUUUUUAUUAUACUUCUUUCCUUUUCUCCACCCUCAUGCAACAAACUUUCUGUUAAUAAAUGCUAAGAGUCGACUCUGAGCCGUUGUCAUGCGUAACAACGGUGUUUCUCAUUCCUUCCCUCUCUUUCUUCCACGUCACCAAAUUUCCUUCCCUCUCUUUCUUCCACAUCACCAAUUUCUUUCCCUCUCUUUCUUCCACGUCACCAAAUUACUUGCAUGACAACGAAGAGAGCCUGUUAUUAGACACCAUUGUACAUGCCCUUAGCGCCACAAACGGCAAAAAUAAAAAUUACGCGUUUAAUCACCCAACAAAAUCGGUGAGUAAAAAGAAGAAGUUACACAAUCUGGAAUUAGCUAAAAAUGGAAACGUCUCAUAUGUGCGAUGCUGGUUCACUCACUAGCUAGCCUUUUGGAUCGGUGCCAAAUUUGGUUCGGCGUCAGUCUCGGUUCGAUUCAGCGUAGGUUUUUCGCUUGCUAGGCUUUUCGGUGUUAAAUUAGAGCAAUUUUAUCAUUCUUAAGAAGGUACCACCAAGUACCAGGUACUGCAAGGUACCACUUAAAUCCAAUUGUCCGUUGACAAGGGGGUAAAACUGGUAACAAUAAUUUUAUGUAAACCUUGCUCACGUGUUCUUCACUACCCGUCAUCAUUUUCUCCUUGCGCCUCUCUGCGUCGAGCGCCUAUGCACUGCCUUGCCCCAAUUAAGAUAUGAAAGCUGUUGCUUUGGGGGCCUUCAAAUGGGGAAAAUGGAGCGGAAGGCAUGCAAUGGAGUUCGGCAUUGAAGAGGAGGAGGUUACGAGCCUCCAGAGGAGGCACAUACGGCAUGGGCUCGUCGGAGAUUGGGGCGGAGGAAUGAAAAGGAGAAAGAUAGAAGGCAUGGGCUCGUCGGGAGAUUGGGGCAGAGGAAUGAAAAUGAGAAAGAUAGAAGGGAUGAAACAUAGGAAAUCGUGGAGGCAUGUGCGAGCGGCCCAGGGGCGAGGGGUGGAAUGAGAAGGAUCUAUUGGGGGAGGAUGAUCGUUGCAGCACUCGGUCGGGGAGGAGCGUCCCGCAGGCCAACGGGAAAACUCCCUCCUUCCGUCCUAAAUAAACCAACUUUAUACGUGAUGGUUGAUUUAUUUUGAGACGGAGGGAGUGGUGCUGACGGAGAGAUGGUACUCGAAGGUACUAAAGUCUGGACCACUGUUGAAUCUCUUUCUAUGGAUGACCCUGAUUUAUCCUUCUCUCUCUUCAAGGAUGGUUAGAAGCGCUAGCCAAAUUAGCAUGGCCUCAGUUUCAGUUUGAUUCGAUGUACGUGAGCAUUCGCUACCUUAAUACUAGCCUUUCGGUGCUAAACAGGGCUUCACCCUCAGUAUAUGUUUGGUUCUUCGGUUUUGGUACAUACGAGUAAAAAUAAAACAAACCCUGUACGGAGACUCGAUUAAAGGAAAGCAGGAAGCACAUGUGGAUACAUUAUAAACAAAUCCUGUACGGAUACGCAUGAUCCAGUACUGGCCUCGCUACAAAUAUGUUCCGGUGGGCGCGGGCGACGUACAUGCAUAGGAGUCGGCAAUGCAGCCAGCCAGCCAUGCAGGUAAAACAGUUGAACGCAGUAUCUCUCUAGUUCUCGAGGAUAAACGAUCGAUCGGCUGAUCUUCUCCGUUCUCCCGGCCGGCCAAACAAGGUACGUAGGCCUGUGCUUGUGCCGGAUCAAUCCUCGAUGAUCCAGUAAUUUGUUUCCAAAUUCCCGCCCAUCGCGAUCUAAAAAUCAUAUCCAUGCGUGAAGAAUGUGAUAUUGACCUCUAGCUAUCUCCUUGCAGAUCGAUCGAUGGAUCAGUACUUCGCCCAGGCCCUUGUGCUCUUGUAUACUCCAAUACUGCUCUGCUACGUAGUACUUAGUACUUAUGGCACCUAUCAUCGAUGGGCCACCGGACCCUAGCUUCUCCGUUCGGCUCGUGGGCGUCGAGGGGCUCGACGUCGACGCCGACGCACGCCUAUCUGGCCCAAGGUCGUCAUCGCCGGCCGCGCUACCGGGCCUGCGGCGGGGGCAGGGACGACACCGCGCUGCGCGUCUCGUACCACGGCAUGACGGCAUCGUCCUCGCCCGGGCUCCCGUGCCGUCGUUCUGCAUCGACGGCAAGCUGUUGGAGGGCGGCGGCGCGGUAGGCGUGGUCGUCGUCAAGGCCGAAGCGGCGGCGGCAAACGCCAAGAUGCGGAAGGGCCUGCGCGAUCUGAUAUGGACCGAGAGGCGCGUUCUAGGGAAGGUCGACUUCGACGUGGAGGGGAACCUCGGAGAGCAGGUGACUCGUGAUGAUCUGAAUUGUAAGGUCUCCUCCUUUGAGGGUGCCAAAGGUCGUUUUGAGUCCAUUUAGUUUUGGAGUGUUAAUUUUUACCCAUAUUAAUUUGCAUAGUUGGAUACAAAAUGAGUUUUGUAGUUAACAGGUGUAACACUGAUAGAGUUAUAAAUUGGUAUAAAUAGAAAUACGUACAUAGCAUAGGAAAAGCUUUAAAAGCAUUUUUUACAAGGAGGUGUUUGUUCGUAGGAAAGAUGAGGAAUGAAGUUAGGACAUGGGAAAAAAGCUAUUAACGUAUUAUUAAUUAAAUUUUAAUCUUUACAUACUUAAAAUAUAUUUAUGUGAUAUUUUAAAGCAACUCCUAUAAAGAAAAAUUUUAUGCAAAGCAUAUUGUUUAGAAGUUUAAAAAACAUCCCUUCCUAGUUCCUCUCCCCUAAAAAAAGUUUAAAAAACAUACUAAUGGCAGCCGAGGUAAAAUUUGUGUCUUGAUCAGAAAAGAAAAGGAAUUAGUAUGUCAAAGUAAUAUAUAUAGGAAACCCAAAUUUGUAUCAUCCAAAACCGGCACUGCCUUUGCCAUCGACAUCGUCGAGGGAUUUGGAAAAAAAAUUGGAAGAGCUGGUCAAAUGAUAUGACACAAUUGGUUACCUUGGGUAAAAGAAAAGAUACAUAUAGGCUAUGCUAGGGAGGCGGUAAAUAAAUAAGAAAAUCCAAGAAAUAUCAUUUUUAUUAGCGCCCAAUUUCAAGAAAUAUCAUGGAUAAGUGUGAGUUUAAUGAAAUGCCAUCGUACGAGCGACAUUGUCCAAAAAAAAUGUUAUCGUCGUUAGGGUUCCAUUAGCAACCCGCCGUUAAGUGCUAUUGACGGAGCGUGGGGCUCCUCACCGGGAGACCGCGCAGGCCCCCCUUUGCCGGUUCGGCCGGGGACUCAGGGUGAGAUUCUAAGCUCUCUGUAUGUGGAAGGUUCGCGAGACAGGAAACACAUAAGACACGAGCGAUGUAUACAGGUUCGGGCCGCUGAGAAGCGUAAUACCCUACUCCUGUGUUUUGGGAGAUCUGUGUAUCAAGGAGCUACAAAGUAUAUGCCAGCCUCUCCCUUGUUCUGGGUUCCUAAUCUGGAAAAGUCCAGUCCCCCCAUCUAAGUGGGCAAGGUCCUCCUUUUAUAUCUUAAGGGGAUACCACAUGCACCAUUUCUCUCUUUUUUGUGGGGACUUCCCCCACCUUUUCAUAAAUGGACGGAGAUUUGUAUAGUUGCCGUUCGAGUCACCUUCUGAUGAGACGGCCCACAACUACCUCCACUUUCGCCGGGAGCAGAUGCGACGUGGAAUCGUGGCUGUCUGCUGACGACAUGACCGGUGUCAGACCAGUCACGUCGGUCAUUCUUGCCCACCACGUGUCAGCUUAGCAAUCUACAUGUUCGCCCUUCUUCACACAACAUCUUGCCUGUAAUGGUUAGGAUGAAGCCUGGCAUAUAUCUGACUAGGACUAACGUGCCAUCUCUGGGAGGUAACACGCUAGCUCCAGCUGGAGACGAGCGCCUAGAAGCCCUCGUCCUGACGGGAUGGGGCGAGGCGUGCGUCAGAUCGCCUGUCGCCACCUAACCCGCGAUCUGACCGGUCUGUGACUGGUCACAGACCGGAUAAAUGAGUGCACUGCACUGCGUUACAUGCGGCGUGACACGCUCAGCCAAACCGCAAUAAAUGUGGUUAGGUGAGCCCCACUGUGCUCACCUAACCCAUACACUCGGAGCAAAAACCCACGAGGGGUCGGGGCGCCUCGGCCCUCGGGGCCGAGGCGGGUGCGGCCCGACCCCCUCGGGGGGACUAAGAGGAGGGAGAACAUAUCACCCUCGGGCCCGACGUCCCUCGGGGGUGCCAGGCCACGUGUGCGAUUGUGUCUGCCUCAAACCUCUAGUCAUGAUACUCCUGAUCCCAUGUCACCGACAGCUAUAGAAUGAAUGACGUAUUUAACGAUGUAGGAUGAACGAAACUCUAAAGGUGACGCAUUUCUAGGAGAAAAUCGUUGUGCGAUUGCAUUUUAUGGAACUCGCAUUUAUCGAUGGCUUUUUUGGAAUUGGACGUUUGUCAAUGAUAUUUAUUGGAUUUUCUCUCAAUAAAAUAGCAUGUGAUGGGGAGGAGCGACCAGAGCAUGCUAAGUGCUCGGGGGCCAUAGUGAAAAAACUCGGACAUAAUGUUGAACAGGUGAAGGGCUCAGUUUGUACCGGUCUGAUGGUUGAACCAAUGGAUUGCCGGUCUGACCGUGGUUCGUAAUAAAGUAUUAAUUAAAGUUGUAUUCACAGCACUGCGCAGUGUGCACAGCUUCGUGGUGGGUAGAACCCCACGCUUGCGCUUUUUUAGGGGACAUGUAGUCGAAAGAGAAGCUAACAUGUGACAAAUGUGAAUGAAAAUUUGACAGAGUGGUAUUUAAACAUAUGUAUUUUGGAAGGAUGGCAAAUAAUGAUCAAUUCUCUUAAUUGAAGGAGCCAUGUAAGAUGUGCUAUGUACUCCCUCCAUUUCAUAUGAGUUGCUUUGAUUUUUUUCGUUGUCAAACUUUUUUCAAGUUUAAUAAAAGUUUUAAAAAAAGCAAUAUCUAAAACAACAAAUUAGUUUCAUUAAAUCUAGCAUUGGAUAUAUUUUGAUAAUAUGUUUAUUUUGUGUUGAAAAUACUACUUUGUUUUUUCUAUAAAUUUGGUCAAACUUAAAGAAGUUUAACUAGAAAAAAAAACUAAAGCAAUUCAUAGUAUGAAAUAGAGGAGUAGCAAACAAACACGUUGUAGUAGCAUUAUAAUUUUAAUUACCAUUCUAUAAAUUAGAAACAUGUAAACACUAAUCUUUAAUGUACCUUUUUGUUCCAGUUUGAGCUUUGGGCCAAACAUUCAAGCCCAAACACAACCCAAUUGGAACCUAACAACAUAGGCAAUCUGAGUACGCUUACUGCCAAGCCAAGGCCAAGAAAGGCAAAUUCAACAAAAGCCAACAACUACUCACUUGAUUUUUUUUUUGUUAGACAUAGAGGAGUAGUAGAUUCAAAAUACAGAACAUGCAUGUUCUUCUUGUUUGCUCCUAUUUAUCACGUACUCUCUCUCUCUUAAAACACACCUUACUACUCCCUUGUUUCAAAUAAGGCUAAGUUCGAUUCAUCUCUUUCCCAACUUUCACUCCUUUAUUUAUCAUGCGCACUCUUUCCGAACUAUUAAACGAUAUAUGUUUUUUUUUAAAAAAAAGUCUAUAGGAAAAAUAUAUAAAUUUAUUUUUAAAUUUUUAAUACUAAUAACUAAUUAAUUAUACGCUAAUAAAUCACUCCGUUUUAUGUGCUCGAGGGAUUAAUUCCCAAAGUUAAAAGCCAAACACAGCCUAACUACUCUUUUAUACUUUUAAUGUAUUUAAAUAUGCGGAAACACUAACUCGCGCGUACGCGUUGCCGGCGCGCAUGCUGCCCACUAAGGCCCAUGCACGUACGCACUUAAGUUUCUCUCUUUUUUUUUCUUUUUUUUACCCUGUCGUUUCUUCUUUUUUUUAUAUUUUGUUUUCGUUGUUUGUUAUUCCUAUUUCUUACUAGUGAUUAGUUUACUAGUAAUUUUUAAAUCUUAACUUUAAAAUUUUCAAAUCUCAAGUUGAAAGUUUUUAAAUUUUUUAAAUUUGGACCUGAAAGUUUUUGAAUCUUGAGUUAAAAGUUUUUAAAUCUGAGUUGAAAGUUUUCAAAUCUUAAGUUGAAAGUUUUCAAAACUUUCAAAUCUGGACUUGAAAGUUUUCGAAUCUGAGUUGAAAGUUUUCGAAUCUCGAGUUGAAAGUUUUCAAAUCCGAGUGGAAAGUUUUCAAAAUUUGACUUUAAAAUUUAAAUCUUAAAUCAAAAGUUUUCAAAUCUGACUUAAAAAUUUUUAAUCUAUUAGUAAAAAAAUAUCCCAAAAAAAUUUCCCUAAUUACUCGUCAUUAGUACUAAGUGGGUGUUAACUAAUACUAUAGAGUAGUUAGGGAGGUGCUUGCUGCUGGCGCAUGCGCGCCAGCAGCUAGCAACCCCUUUAAAUAUGACUAGCACGGUAAAUAUUUCUCUUGAUUUUAUACACAUCCUAAUUCUCAUGUCGACUCAAAAAAUGCCUUAUAGUAAAGAAAAAAAAGGAGAGAGUACAUGUUUUCUAUAGCGUGUCAUGUUUUUCUUAAAUUGAACAAAUAAUUAAUUGUGAAAAGAGAGGAUAAAACUUAGAAAACAUCAAAACAGCACAGUCCAAAUUGGCCGUAGAACUUCCCUUUCAGCACAGGCCGGUUUUUCCAAAUCGCUGUGGAAUAUUGAUGGGCAGAACUUUUUUUAGUCAAAAAUGCACAAUUAAUAUGGGUGAGCUACUUAUUAAAGCUUGAUAGCGAAGAAACCCCGCUGCCACUGUGCUAGCCUCCAACGCUUAGGCCGCCUGCUCCACCCACCAUCAAUCAGCUCUCACACAAGCCCAAUACGGCAAAUACCCCCGUCCAUGCCAUGUGGGCCCGCUUGCCACGGACUCUCCUCUGCCCCCCAGCCGCCUUUUCUAUUUUAAUCCCCGCUUCUCCCCGCCUCUUACAUCACAGUCCACGGGAAUAGUCCAAACCGCCUCCAUCCACGGCAGACGCGACGCGACCCGAACACGAGAGAGGAGGGAAGCAAGCAAAGCAAAGCGAAGCAGCGAGAGGGAGAAGCAUACGAAGAAGAAGAAGAAGAGGAAGAGGAGGGCAUGGAGAUGCAGCACGUGGUGGAGGUCGAGCAGGGCCGCGCGGCCGCCGACGGCCGGCCCUCCGUGGGCCCCGCCUACCGGAGCGCCUUCGCCCGCGGCGGCUUCCCGCCGCCCGUCGCCGGCCUGGACUGCUGCUACGACAUCUUCCGGUGAGUGGCUGCUGCUGCUGUGACGACGAUGACGAGGGGUUCCUCGCCUGACCUCCGGUGGGAGGCGGGGCGGGCGGGGCGUGGGCGAGGCGCCAAGCAUCGGUUUGCUUGAAUUCGUGUAUGGGUUGGUUGGUUGGGGGGAACAUUAAUUGAUGCGUGGAUUCUGUUCUGGCACUGAGAUUCAGAGGAUUGUUUCCAGUGGCCGUAUGCUAUUUAUUUCUGGUUUGCACAUGGAGGUUGGGAUUUGGUGUCCUUUGGUUCAGUUUCGAUCUUAUCUCUCAUUAAUGGGUGACAAAUUCUGUGCUUAGAUUUGGUAUGCUUGCUUAUGUUCAUAUGCUUCACCAGGGGACAGUUAGCUUAGAUUUUAAAAAAAGCCUUGCCAAUUAGUUAAUCUUUGUCUGUCCCAUAAUUUUCAGACCUCCUAUUCCUUAUGGAUCUGUAGAAUUCCGCGGGAGUGAUUUGUAACUGGAAAAUCACUUUCAGCCUAGCCAUGCACCGUUGUUGUUCGAUCUGUGGGUCGUAAUGGUGAUGUCAGACUGGUCCAUGUUGUCUGGUCUCUUUCUGGAUAUGGAUAGGAAAGUACAGAGGGAAUUAACAGGAUUGGUUUGUCCUUUGCAUUCUAGUUGCUGGCCUGAAUUCUGUCAAUUCUUCAAUUUAAUGACCCUUUUCUCCUACUGAGCUUCUCUAAUUUCUUGAUUUCGACAAUGUCUGUUCUUGUGCAGAAUGGCCGUGGAGAAGUUCCCAGACAACAGAAUGCUUGGUCACCGUGAGAUUGUUGACGGGAAGGUACCUCAAUCACUCCAUGUACUCGUUUAUUCCCUUGAAAUGUUAUACCAGAAAGAAAAAAAACUAAAUAGGAUUUUUGUGCUAUUAUAGGCUGGUGCAUACGUUUGGAAGACAUACAAGGAGGUGUUUGACCUUUCGACUAAGAUUGGUAACUCUAUUAGGAGCCGUGGACUUGCAAAGGUUUGGUCAAUAAUUUAUUAUAUUUUCUAUAUAUAUGUCAUGAGAUGGGAUGCUAAUUUCUUUGAACAUUGUUAAUUGAAUUAAACAUUGUAUGAACUUUUUGUUCAGCUUGGAAGCAACACUUUGAUGUAUUCUUAUAUCUUGAUUAAAGAAUCAUACCAUCUCAUUUUAAUUUGAUAAUUUUGCAGGGAAGCCGUUGUGGUAUCUAUGGUGCUAAUUGUCCUGAAUGGAUUAUCACGAUGGAGGUAAUGUUUUCAAUCUUGUUCUGUAGCCAGCUUUUGUCUGGAUGCACUCUCAUCAUUUCGCAGCAAGUAAACUGUCAAUUUUCACCCAUUAUUUAGUCAUUUUUGUCUUUUGGGGCACUUAUGUUGCUGAAACAAUUGUAACGCUUGGUACUUAUGUCUCGCCAAUUUAUGUUUCUGUCCUUUUCAGGCCUGCAAUGCUCAUGGAAUCUACUGCGUUCCAUUAUAUGACACUCUUGGUAUAUAUCCUAACAUUUUCUUAAGAGCAUUAUACACACAUUGACGAGUUUAUUGUUUUCUUCUAUGAUACUUCUUGCUUGGGGGCGGUGGUAGGUCAUUUAGUUGUGCACCUGUUAACAUUAUGCUUCUUUCUCUGAGGAAGGUAGCCUUGAUACUGUUAAGCAUGUGCUCAAGAACUAUUUAUGGUCUCCUCUUAUGGCAACUAUGAUUAUGUUUCCAGAAGAAUGAAAAAGCUUUGUCACAUCAUUAGAACAUAUUGCAAAUAAGUUUCCUAUGAUGAUCUUGUUGUUUUCUUAUAAGCAAACUAAGAGCUAAAUGUCAUUCAAUAAGUAAAGGAUCUUUUUCCUAGUUGACACAUUUAGAUGCAUAAAAUGAAACGACAUAGUAACACAUGCAACUGCAGCUUAUACCUUUGUAUUAAAUAUGCUCUUGAUGCAGGAGCUGGUGCUGUAGAGUUUAUUUUGUGCCAUGCAGAAGUUGAGAUUGCUUUCACAGAGGAGAAAAAAAUUGAGCAGGUAUAGUUUGUUACUUUGUUUCAUUGUCUCAUACCAGUAUGUAGAACUUCGAUGAUUGCAUUGCAGUGCAUCCUGAAUCGAGAAUACUUGCACUGUUGUUGACCUUCUACAUAAUUGUCUUUAUCUGUAUGAUGAAUAUGUAAAAUUAAUCUUUAUUUUGGUGAGCAUCUUUGGAAAUAUAUCUGUAAACUGUCCAUUGGGGAAAAGCUAGCAGUACACCAAUUGUUCUUCUGUAUUCCUUAAGUUCAUUUUUGUUUUUAGUUAUGCUUUGUAAAGCUCCAUCACCCGUUUAGAUCCAUGGAAACCUUGCUUCAUUCUACUUAAAAAAAAUGCAUGUUUCCAAGACAGUUUUCUAUAGUUACACAAUUAUCUUGUUUCAACUGUAUUACAUUGUGUUAUUUAUAUUUUGGACGACACUUCGAUGGUUGUUUUGCGACUGUGUCAAUGGGUUGUGGGUAUCUCAUCAUAUCAAAGCAUGCUUUAUCUCUCCGGAUGCAUAUUGAGUAAUUUCAACUUGGCAGAUCUUCAAGACUUUCCCCAAGUCAGCUGAAUUCUUGAAAAGUAGGUUUCACUCAUCCAUACCAUCAUCAAGAAAUAACAUGCUUCUACCAUGAAAUUAAAGAUGUAAUACUAUUUGCAGCAAUCGUUAGUUUUGGGAAGGUAACUCAGGAACAAAAGGAAAAUGCCUCCAAAUAUGGGCUGGAGAUCUAUUCAUGGGAUGAAUUUCUUUCUUUGGUAAGACAUGCUGCCAGCAAUUUUAUAUGCAGUUCGUUUUGACAUUAUCAUUUCUUAAACAUAAAUGCCUCAUAAUGAUGUGGCAAUGUGCACAUUAGUAUUUGUCUAUCCACAGAUCCUUCAAUACCUGUAUAGGCAAAGAUUUUGAUGUAACUUCAUUUGUAUAACAUGGAAGUUGAAAACGCUAAUUUUUAAUGUUGUUUGCCUACAAACUUUUGUCAAGUUUGCUAACUUUUUGUUGUCACCAGUUACUACAGUCUACCUAUGGUCCUAAACCUCUCGUAGUUUUGUUUCUUUCUAAUUUGGAAAGUUGUUUCAAGAGUUCAUUUUACACCUAUUUUAUUAGGAUAGCUUUUCAGAUAUUCUAUUUUUCACAUGACAUUGUAUCUUCAGGCAGACCAAGAAUUCGAUCUUCCAGUGAAAGCAAAGACUGACAUAUGUACUAUAAUGUAUACCAGUGGAACUACUGGUGACCCCAAAGGUGUACUGAUCUCCAAUGCAAGCAUUAUUUGCCUAGUCGCAGGUGUAGAUCGGCUGCUUAACUGUGUAAAUGAGCAGGUAAGAUAUGCCAGCAGCCCUUUCAUUAUGCAUCCAUAUAUAAUCACUGAUCAAUCUUUAAUUGCUUUAACUAUGCGGGAAUCUCAGCUGGAGCAAACCGAUGUUUACAUGUCUUAUCUUCCACUUGCUCAUAUCUUUGAUCGUGUUGUGGAAGAGCUAUUUAUGUUCCAUGGUGCUUCCAUUGGAUUUUGGCGUGGGGUAAGCACCGUUACAUGUUUACUGAUCCCUCUUGGAUUUUGAUUUUUUGAACCUGUGAUGACUAUCUUAAAAAUUUGGUUCAGGAUGUUAAGCUGCUUGUUGAAGAUAUUGGGACACUGAAACCAACUAUCUUGUGUGCUGUUCCACGUGUGCUUGACCGGAUAUUUUCUGGUAAGGAGCUCUUGAAGUGUAUGGAAAAUUAUUAACAGUCGUCAUACUUUUUCAUAGGCAUCCAGUGAGAUAUUUUUGUGAUUAAGUGAGGCAAGACAGUAGAUAUUUAUCAUUUGAUCAUAUUGUUCAAUAGCAAUUAUUCUUAGAUGAUAUUGUUUUAAUAUAUACACUAAUUAAUAUAGAUUGAAUCUGUCAUUUUCCUUUGGUGAAAUACUUCUUAUUGGUCUUAAUGGUGUGGUUUGCUCUUUUGUUUGGUAAAUUCUUAGAUGGCUGGCUGUCUGAUCCACUGAUACUCUUGACAUGUCAUGGCAAGGUGUUUAUACUAAUUUACUCAAGAAACUACCUAAUAACUUGGCUAUAUUGUUAUUGGUGUUUCUUACUUCACCAAGGAAUUCUCCUGUGUCUAACAAUAGUUGAAUGUUGAGUACUUCAUAUCUUAUUCUAAUGCAAACUUGAACCAUAUUUGUGCUUUUGGUAUAUGAGGAUCUUCUGUUUGUUUAUAUAUGCUCAUGCAUGAACCUGGUGAUAGUUUUGUUCUGUCGACUUGAAGUUUGCUUGUACUUUUUAAAAGGAUUUGAUAUUGUCACUGUGAGUGUGAUCUUGCUAGAGUUUGCUCGUGCUCAUGGAACUUUCCCUUAUUUUUACCCUUUAUUCAGGACUCCAAGCUAAAAUUGCAUCUGGGGGUUUCAUAAAGAGUACAUUGUUCAAUCUUGCUUACAAAUUGUAAGUUUACUACUCUUUGUACUCUGAAUGUUUGCCUUUUGGGGAAUAGAAAAUGUGGAAUAGUUGUUUGCACUUUUAAUAUUAUAGGUCCAAUGUUUCUUCUGAAGUUCACUUUAUGCUAGUAUUAGUUAAUAAUCUGUAACUAUCAAAUUGAAGUAUUUCACCUGUCACAGAAUCGAGUAUGACCUAGGUAUUAUAUUUUGCAGCAAGCAAUUUAGAAUGAUGAAAGGAGCUAAGCACAAUGAAGCUGCCGCAAUAUGUGACAAAGUAGUUUUCAGUAAGGUAGUUGAACUUUGCAGUCGCUACUUCUUCACUCUUAUGUGUUCUUAAACUUGCCAUUCUUAUUUUAGAAAUUUAAUUUAUCAUGCUUCAGGUGAAAGAAGGUCUUGGGGGAAAUGUUCGUGUUAUUUUGUCCGGAGCUGCUCCACUUGCUACUCAUGUUGAAGAAUACCUGAGAGUGGUGACUUGUGCACAUGUCUUACAAGGAUAUGGUAUAUCUUUGUUUGUUAUCUUUGUAGAGAAAGUAGGAUAGAUGCCUCACCUAAGAGGGGAGGUGAUCUCUUAUAUAUAUAGCUGAAUUACAAUGAAUGCUAGUGCUGAGAUACAAUCAAUACAAGUGAAUUACAUAAGACCAAAGGUCUAGGAGAGUAAAGGUCUAGGAGUUGAACAGCCUAUAGAUUAAUAAAUAAUCCUAAUACCCGCCCGCAGUCAUAGCGGGAGGAGUACGAACGCAAAGACUGGACCGAAAAUCUUGUGAUAAAAGAACACUUGCAACUCUCUUGAUCUAUCAUGUCUUUUCUAGUCCAUUUGAUCAGUACAAUCAUUUUUAUUUAGUUGUAUGCAUUAGACAUACCAUCCAAUUAAUUAUUAAAGCAUUAUAAAUUGAUGUAACUGAGUAGGUAAAGUUAUUUUCUACGAUGCUAUAUAUACUUGAUGGGAUAACUCAAUUGUUUUGAUGACAACAUCACUGAUGUUAUUGGUCUAUUCAAUCUAUGCUCUUACUAGCAAAAGAUAAACUCUGAAAAUAUUAAUAGAAGGCAAUUGUGUUGAUGGAAAUCUCUGUUUUUUGAAUGGAAGUUUUGAUUUGAUUUUGUUGUGCAACAUGCAAAGUUUUAAAAUUGGUGGAAAAAAAUACUAAUCUCCUGGGCUGGACUGGUAACCAGUAGGUUAACGGAAUUUACCAGACAAACAUUCAAAUAUUGGAAUUCAAACAAUGGUUACUGGUUGUUAACAAGUAGCAUUGUACCAGCCCGAAGCAGAAGGUAACUGGUCAGCAAAAAAGUGCUUCUGUUAGUAAAUAUCAAAAUUAUUAAAUUACGAAUUUCAAAUCUAAAUUAAAGUAUUGCAGCUGGUUUGUUCUGGCACUAUUCACCACCUUCUAACCAGUUAUGGGCUGGUUACCAGUUGUUUUCCAAACGCUGUCAACAUGCACUAGUUCUUAAAUUGGUUUCCUCCAUAAAAACAAACAAAAGUUUCCUAAAUUGUAGGUCAUUAUCAUUGAUCCAUGUAACCUGAAUUUUUUUUCCAACAGAACUUUGUUUUGAAUCAUUUGGUCUCUUUUAGGUCUCACGGAGACUUGUGCUGGAUCUUUCGUCUCCCUACCAAAUCAGAUGUGCAUGAUAGGGACUGUUGGUCCUCCAGUGCCAAAUAUUGAUGUCUGCCUGGAAUCAGUGCCUGAAAUGAAUUAUGAUGCACUUGCAACUAGACCGCGUGGCGAAAUCUGCAUCAGGGGAGAAACAGUAUUCUCAGGAUACUACAAGCGUGAAGACCUUACAAAGGAUGUUUUGAUUGAUGGAUGGUUCCAUACUGGUAUGUCUUGCUUUUUCAUAGUUUUUUUUUUCUCUCCUUAUGGGGGCUUUUUGUAGAUUUUAGUGGCUGCAGCAGUAAAAAGAAUGUCAGAUACCAUUUCCACAAUUGCAAUAAUUUCAUUUCUGGAGUAGGAUUCAUGUUUUAAUAUUUUAGGCCUUGUAAUAUCAAUAGUAGGUCCACACUGUGAUACUGAGAAUGGGCUAACUAGCUAAGCUUAAGCAGCAAUUAAUCAGAGUAUACAUCCGCUUUAGAUUGCAAGGCAUUCUACUCUCUUUUACUAAACUGUGCCUGGAUGACAGUACUAAUAUGAUCAGCUAGUUGCAAAGAGAGGUUUGAAAAUUGAAACAUCUGUUCUCUGCUUGCAGGAGACAUUGGUGAGUGGCAACCUGAUGGAAGUAUGAAAAUCAUAGAUCGCAAAAAGAAUAUCUUCAAGCUUUCACAAGGAGAAUAUGUAGCAGUAGAAAAUUUGGAGAACAUUUAUGGUCUUGUUUCUGCUAUAGAUUCGGUAUAUGGCUAUCUGCUUUAAAGUUCUCUGCUCCUUAAAUUUAUUCUGCGACAUUGUUUUUGCCUUUUUGGUAUCAUAAAUGACUGAUGGGUCAUUACCUUCUGUUUCUGCUAAAACAAUUUGAAAAACUUUCCUCUGUUUUUUUUUUUUUUGAACAUCUGUUCAGAUAUGGGUAUAUGGGAAUAGCUUUGAGUCAUUCCUUGUUGCUGUGGUCAAUCCAAACAAGGAAGCAUUGGAGAGCUGGGCUGCAGCAAAUGGAAUCAGUGGUGAUUUGGAGGCAUUGUGUGAGAACCCCAAAGCAAAAGAAUACAUUUUGGGAGAACUGUCAAAAGUAGGAAAAGAGAAGAAGGUAAUAUUUUGAUUAUUGCUUGCUUUUUUUUCCUGAAAGGAAAUUAAUCUCUUCUAUAUAUCACGUUUGUCCGCUUGCUCCUAUUAACUCCUUAACUUUCUACGUACUUUUGCAGCUCAAAGGUUUUGAAUUCAUAAAGGCUGUACAUCUUGAACCAGUGCCAUUUGACAUGGACCGUGAUUUGAUUACUCCAACAUAUAAAAAGAAGCGCCCUCAAUUGCUCAAGUACUACCAGGUAUUGCUCAUUCAAAUUCUCGUCAUACUGAUGGCAUAUGUUGUUUACAUACUUCACGCGUGUAGAACGUUCUCAUUUUGCUUACUUGGUCCUUUGAAUCAGUUUUAGAUCUCGAUAAUUCUGAAGCUAUUGUCCCUUUAUUUCAGCAGAAUUCCACUAUUUGUUUUUUGUACUAAGAACCAAAAAAAAGGGUUUUCGGACGCCUUACAUUCAGAGGUUAACUAGCAGCUCUAAAUUUACUUCGAUUUGCAGGGAACAAUUGACAACAUGUACAGAAGUGCCAAAUGAGCUCGCCAUGCCGUCUAGAACAUCCAAGAUCAAAGGAGCUGACAGAAGCACCAAUCUCAUGCUGUUUGUAUGUUCAUAGUAGGGACGGAAAAAUGUUGUAAUAUCUCUUUUGGAAACGUCUUGACAUAUAUGAUUUAUUCGUAGAAACGGGGUAUGCACCUGUACGAAGAAUCGCAAGCACCGUUUCUGUAUUGCCUGACCCCUGAAAUUGCCAAAUUUAAAAUCGAAAAUUAGCGGCAAUCGUUGCACGUUGGAGUUUGAGCUUCCAUGCGUUAAAACGUUUAGAAUUAGCACAGGAUCGUUGCAUCGGGGCCGUUUCAGAAUUCAGAUAUAUCCAAAAGACUUUGCUGGAUUUAACAUUGCCGAACAUUUAAGGGUUCACAUCGUCUGCCUUUGGCCUCAAAGGCAGACUUCGCCGUUGCUUCAUCUUAGCUACCCAUUCAACAAUAAACUGUUGCAUGUAUAAGCCUCCACAAAAGCGAUUAAUAAAAAUCAGCAAACAAAAAUUCUGACGGCUAGAGCACACACGAACAAAAACAUACCUCGACUUGACUAAUAGUUCAAAUGAUUUUCUGUAUGACUGCAUCGUUGUGACGAUUAUUCUUCUAUACACUUGACAUCUGGACUACUAGUCCCUUCGAAACAAUAAGAGUAAAUUACAUUGAUGCUACACAAACUUGUUAGGUGGGUGCAAUUUAAUACAUAAACUUGUAAAAUGCUCAUUUCAGUAUAUGAAUUUGUCAAUGUAAAUGAGGACCAAAAUAAUUUAAAAAUGAUAAUUUUAUGAAGCGAUGUUGAUUAGGAUGUGACGUGCAUGCGUGUAGUGAGUAUGCAUAGGACAUUCAAUAUUUAUAAAUUUGGUCUCUAGUUUAUUCUUCACCAUAAAAAUAAUGAAUUUCAUAUAUUUCUAACAUUUAUACCAUUGCUCGUUUUUUUAAUCUUUUUCUACUAUCACUAUAUUCUAUUCUAUUUUUUAUUGAAGAGGUGUAUGUCUAAUAGCAACCUUCUUAGAUAUAUGCCCUAAAUCAAUAAGAUUAGCAAUAUAGUGUCCUUUUCGCCUUCCUCCGCAUGCUAGACAAGUUCAUGCACCAAAACGAGCAUUUUACAAGUUCAUGCACUAGAUUGUACACAUCUGACAAGUUCGUGUACCGGUGAUGCAAUUUACUCAAACAAUAAAGUACAUCAAACGUAGAGGGGGUGGUCCCAUUUCAGCGAAGGAGCGUGGGCCCAAACCCCCAAACAUGUGUGCUC
rnacentral:lncRNA from 1 species